ensembl:lncRNA
GUGUGUGUGUGUGUGUGUGUGUAAAAGAGAGGAUUUCAGGCAAGCUGAGCUACUCUCCGUGACCUUGUCAGCCGGCUAAAUCUCUCUGGAGUCGAUGGCGUGCAUAUUAAGUUCAUCAGCGUAUGGGAGUGUCUUUGUGUCAGAUGCAGGCAGAGCGCGAGAGCUCAGGACUCUUAUCAACCAGUCAAUUACGAACAUUAACUGUCCUGACGGUGUUCUGAUUCAUGGACGCGCCUCACACGGAGAGCACGGCAGGCCACAGAUGAAGAGAUGUUUGAGUGAUUGUGCUGUGAAAUCCCAUCCAUAUCUGAGCUCUAAUCACACACCUGAUGGAGGAUUGACCAGAUGACCGACUCACGAGGAGCUCAAAGUCCUGAGCGAAUGUGUGUGUGCCGUUCAUCAUUAUAAACGAUGGCGCUCCUUGCAGCUGUCCUCACCGGAGCCUCAAGCCCAUCUGUCUCCAUAGAAGUUAUUUCCCAUAAUGCCUCUGUCCCUCAGAGCGGGAGCCGCUGACAGAGACGGAGAGCGGUCGUUCUGAAUGGCCGGCCGUGAAAAGGACAUUUUUCUCUUUCCACUUCCAGCAAAUGUCAUCAUCGGUCCAUCAAAGCCUGUCAAAGCUGAAGAUUGAUUGGCGGCUUCCUCCACCAAUGAGAGACGCGUCUGCUUUGUAAGUGUCCUGCAGCUGGGACCCAGUGUUAGUGUAGGAUUAUUUAUAAACUGUUAGAGUUUUUAUUAAUAAUUUGAAUUUGUUUUUAUUUUUAUAUUUUGUUUUCAUUUUAAUGUUUUAGUAAUGUGUUUAUGUGCUUUUGUAAUUUUUAUUAGUUUUGAGGUAUUACUAUUUAGG